rnacentral:rRNA from 1 species
AAGGAAUAUUGGACAAUGGACGGAAGUCUGAUCCAGCCAUGCCGCGUGCAGGAUGAAGGCGCUCAGCGUUGUAAACUGCUUUUGGAUGGGAAUAAUAACCUCGAUUCAUCGGGGCUUGAAGGUACCAUCAGAAUAAGCACCGGCUAACUCCGUGCCAGCAGCCGCGGUAAUACGGAGGGUGCAAGCGUUAUCCGGAAUCACUGGGUUUAAAGGGUGCGUAGGCGGCGCGAUAAGUCAGUUGUGAAAUUCCCCGGCUUAACCGGCGGGACUGCGAUUGAUACUGUCGUGCUUGAAUCAGGUUGAGGUAGGCGGAAUGUGGCAUGUAGCGGUGAAAUGCUUAGAUAUGCCAUAGAACACCGAUUGCGAAGGCAGCUUGCUGGACCUUUGAUUGACGCUGAGGCACGAAAGCGUGGGGAGCAAAC